GACGAACGCUGGCGGCGUGCUUAACACAUGCAAGUCGAACGGAAAGGCCCCUUUGGGGGUACUCGCGUGACGAACGGGUGAGUAACACGUGAGUAAUAUCCCCUAGACUUCGUGACUACUUCCGGAAACUGAGGCUAAUACCGGAUAGCUAUCCUUGCCGCAUGGUGGGGGUUGGAAAGCUUCGGAGGUAUUGGUUGGAUUCGCGGCUUACCAGCUUGUUGGUGGGGUAGUUGCUUACCAAGUCUUUGACGGGUAGCCGGCCUGGGGGGGGGACCGGCGACAAUGGGACUGCGAUACGGCCCAGAAGGCUACGGGAGGCAGCAGUGGAGAGUAUUGCAGAAUGGGGGGAAGCCGGAGGCGGAGACGCCGCGUGCGGGAUGACGGGUUGCGGGUUGUGAACCGCUUUCAGCAGGGGCGAUGCAUGUGGUGACGGUACCUGAAGAAGAAGCAACGGCUAACUACGUG
rnacentral:rRNA from 1 species